AACGAACGCUGGCGGCAGGCUUAACACAUGCAAGUCGAGCGCCCCGCAAGGGGAGCGGCAGACGGGUGAGUAACACGUGGGAAUCUACCCAUCCCUACGGAACAACUCCGGGAAACUGGAGCUAAAACCGUAUACGCCCUUUGGGGGAAAGAUUUAUCGGGGAUGGAUGAGCCCGCGUUGGAUUAGCUAGUUGGUGGGGUAAAGGCCUACCAAGGCGACGAUCCAUAGCUGGUCUGAGAGGAUGAUCAGCCACAUUGGGACUGAGACACGGCCCAAACUCCUACGGGAGGCAGCAGUGGGGAAUAUUGGACAAUGGGCGCAAGCCUGAUCCAGCCAUGCCGCGUGAAUGAUGAAGGCCUUAGGGUUGUAAAGUCCUUUCACCGAUGAAGAUAAUGACGGUAGUCGGAGAAGAAGCCCCGGCUAACUUCGUGCCAGCCGCCGCCGUAACAC
rnacentral:rRNA from 1 species